rnacentral:lncRNA from 11 species
ACUGCAGAUGUGCUUUGACUUCAUUAGAACAGCCCAGAGAGCCAACCACUAAUUAUAAACAGGCUAGCAAAACCAGACCAAUGAAAGGCUUUGGUCAACCCCACCUGAGGUUGCCAAUGCUUAAAAUGGACUCUAACUUGGACUGGGAAUGUGCCUGAUGUAGAUUUAAACAAUAUCUAAUAGCAAUUCCUAUAAUGUUGCUCAGAGGUAUGUGAAAAGUACCUCCUGAUACUGAACAUGGAAACUACUUUUCAAAAAAGGAGAUUCAGACUGAACUCGAGGAAGAACUUUCUGAAGGUUCCUGGCACAAUUAUCAACUGUGAUGUAGGGAGAAGAAGAAAGAGGAAGCGCUCCCAGCAUAUGCAGUGCAAUCUCAUAUUCAAGUUAAUUAUUAU